GACGAACGCUGGCGGCGUGCUUAACACAUGCAAGUCGAACGGUGAAGCGCCUUCCUUUUUGGUGGGUGUGGAUGAGUGGCGAACGGGUGAGUAACACGUGAGUAACCUGCCCCCUUCUUCUGGAUAACCGCAUGAAAGUGUGGCUAAUACGGGAUAUUCUGGGUCUGUCGCAUGAUGGGUCUGGGAAAGAUAUUGUUUCGGUGGGGGAUGGGCUCGCGGCCUAUCAGCUUGUUGGUGGGGUGAUGGCCUACCAGGGCGGUGACGGGUAGCCGGCCUGAGAGGGUGGACGGUCACACGGGGACUGAGACACGGCCCAGACUCCUACGGGAGGCAGCAGUGGGGAAUAUUGCACAAUGGGCGCAAGCCUGAUGCAGCGACGCCGCGUGAGGGAUGGAGGCCUUCGGGUUGUGAACCUCUUUCGCCAGUGAAGCAGGCCUGCCUCGUUUGUGGGUGGGUUGACGGUAGCUGGAUAAGAAGCGCCGGCUAACUACGUG
rnacentral:rRNA from 1 species